CGACACUCCUUCCCCGAACACUAGAAGGCCCAGAUUUCAUUCAAUGGCCGCGGUUACUUAACCAUUAAUUCAUUAAAUAUCACAGACAGGACAUUUUGGACCCUGGCACCACCGAGAAAGAUACAACUUCAAGCCACAUGUUUAUUUUUGGUGGACGAGUCUUGGACACAAACUGCCAGCCUUAUUACUCACUGGCAAACACACUGUAGGGCUUGCUGAAAUGCUCUUAGCGCUCCAUUCUCCAGAGCACAAAUGACCCUGAUUUUUCCAUUAUUUGAGGGUUUGAUCAAUAAUUUCUGCUAUAAUUUCAGUUGGACAUAAUGCAAGUUCAUAAGGGGCAUUUAGGAUUUAUAAAGUUAUUUUAUAUAGUGAAGUUUUCAUAAUAAUGAUUUCCUUUAGAUAACAGGCCAGUUCACCACCAUGGAUAAUAGUUUGUUUACUAAACACACUAUCAAGGGUUAGCACAUUGGAUUUGACAAAACAUUUCUCUAGGAAUGAAUAGUGGAUCUCGUUUUACAGCAUUUAAUUGAAUAAGCAGACUGGAAAGGUUUGCUUCCAAUAGAAAAUGCCUCAAACAAACACCAGAGGAGUUCUGUAAAAGACAAGACAAGGUGAUUUUUUUUACUAUUGACCCUUUGUAACACACACACACACUCCUCUUCUUCAGAAAGUGUAAUGCACAAUAACGACUGUACAUGUUACGUUGAGUUUUCUCAUCUCAAAUUAAAAAUGCGUUUCUCGCUUUCAACAAACAAGACUGAGCCAACACUUUCCCUUGCAACACUGCCUCAGAGGAACUUAAAAGCUUAUUUGAAUUUGAAUUCAGCAUGUUGCUAUGAGCUUCCGAACAACAACUGGUAGCACACGCACACACACACACAGCCCAGACCUGGGCCACAUAAAGAGGCCCUUAACGGUCUCUCCGUCUCUUUCAGAAGGCAUUCCCACCUGAAUACGGCCUUGAACUGGAGGGAGGCGCUCACUCCCUCCCUCCUUCACAACCGUUUCUUCUGUUUCCCUUUCUCCCCAGCCCCUCUCUUGUUUUCCCCUCUGAAUCACUUUGUGUUGAAGCCUUUUACAGUGUGUGUGUGUGUGUCUAGAGUGAGUACUCGCUCAGCAAAUGUCUCUUGAUUUAGUUCAUUAGAAUGCCCCUCCUACUUCCACUUUGAGAAAAUGUGUUAGCAUAAAUAUUUCCAUCUCAUCUCGUUAAGCACAUUGUGUGUGUGUGUGUAUGCACACAGUUUGCCAUCCUGACAUAAAAUGUGUCAAUCAGACAUUUCAGCACUUUGCCAAUCCUACAAACAAACACAGAAAGUUGAAGCAUAUACACACACAGCAGGGUUUUUUCUGGAUCAAACAGGGGCUUAGGUGGUGGGUGUGGCAGAGGGCGUGGCAAUGGGAGGAGUUGGCGCUGGAUUUGAGAUGGAGCUGAGAGAAAAUGCAAUUCUGUGCAUUAUGCCAUGGCUAAUGCGGUGUUCUUUUGCUGAAACGUAAUAACACAAUCAAUACUGCUAAAUUAAUUGUUUUUUGGAAUUUGAAAUUCUCCCUGACUGUCUUCUCUUUUAUUUUGGGGAUUG
ensembl:lncRNA